UACGGAAGGCAGCAGUGGGGAAUAUUGCACAAUGGGCGAAAGCCUGAUGCAGCUAUGCCGCGUGUAUGAAGAAGGCCUUAGGGUUGUAAAGUACUUUUCAUCGGGGAGGAAAAACAAAACUAAUAAUUUUAUUUCUUGACGUUACCCGAAAAAGAAGCACCGGCUAACUCCGUGCCAGCAGCCGCGGUAAUACGGAGGGUGCUAGCGUUAAUCAGAAUUACUGGGCGUAAAGAGCACGUAGGUGGUUUUUUUAAAGUCAGAUGUGAAAUCCCUGGGCUUAACCUAGGAACUGCAUUUUGAAACUGAAAUACUAGAGUAUCGUAGAGGGAGGUAGAAUUCUAGGUGUAGCGGUGAAAUGCGUAGAUAUCUGGAGGAAUACCUGUGGCGAAAGCGGCCUCCUAAACGAAUACUGACACUGAGGUGCGAAAGCGUGGGGAGCAAACAGGGAUUAGAUACC
rnacentral:rRNA from 1 species